GGGAGCGGCCUCAGCUUGCUCGUCAGCGGGUGGUCCGAGCUCGCGCGGUCCGGGUCCAGGGAUGUUGUAAUUUUCAUGUGGCUAACCUAUCAGCUGCUGCUCUGGUCCUCUGCUUUCUGAAGAUUCAAAGUUUUGGAACAGUAACUGAAGAACAUACAACGAUGACACACAGAAAAUUUUGUGCUGCGUGAGUGGCAACUUUUCUCGAUUCAUCUUGCUGUUAUUAAUACUCCAAACUCCAGGAGUUAGUUACAACUAAAACUUCCAAACAUCCCACUCAAAUCCGACUGGACCGCGCCAUCCCACGGUCGAUC
rnacentral:lncRNA from 1 species